AGAGUUUGAUCCUGGCUCAGAGCGAACGCUAGCGGCGGGCUUAACACAUGCAAGUCGUGCGGAACUUCGGUUCAGCGGCGAACGGGUGAGUAACACGUAGAUCACGUGCCUUUUGGAGGGGGAUAACUUGGGGAAACUCGAGCUAAUACCGCGUAUGUCCUUCGGGAUGAAAGCCUUCGGGCGCCAAGAGAUCGGUCUGCGGCCCAUUAUUUAAUCCUAGUUGGUGAGGUAACGGCUCACCAAGGGUACGAUGGGUAGCUGAUCUGAGAGGAUGAUCAGCCACACUGGGACUGAGACACGGCCCAGACUCCUACGGGAGGCAGCAGUGGGGAAUCUUGGACAAUGGGGGAAACCCUGAUCCAGCUACGCCGCGUGGGUGAUGAAGGCCUUCGGGUUGUAAAGCCCUGUCGGGAGGGAAGAAUUUUGACGGUACCUCGCAAGAAAGCACCGGCUAACUCCGUGCCAGCAGCCGCGGUAAUACGGAGGGUGCAAGCGUUGCGGAAUUACUGGGCGUAAAGCGCACGCAGGCGGCUUGAUAAGUCGGAUGUGAAAGCCCGGAGCUCAACUCCGGAACUGCAUUCGAUACUGUCUCGCUUGAGUUCGAGAGA
rnacentral:rRNA from 1 species